GUAUGCAAAUCAUUUUGUGAAACUUCUGAAAGCAAGAAAACACUUCACAUUUUACUUUCAUCAAAUAGACUCAUGUCAACCUAGUGUAACAAUUAAUAAAAGUGACUAGCUAUCUAUAAUCAGACAAAGAAAUUAUUUGAGUAGGUCUCCACGCAUUAGAAUGAAUAGUCAUAAAAGAGAUUAAACUUUUAUUAUUUAUGGAAGAAUAAGACUGUCUAGUGUGUUUAGCAAAUUCACAAGAAUCACAAACUAGUUAGUCUAAGUUGCAAUUCUUAAACAAAUUAAGAUUACCUUUCCAGAGUAAAAAAAGAUGGAUGUCCUAAUCUCCUAUGCCAUUGGAUAAUCUCUUCAUUAGCACUCAUAAACUUUCCAAACAAAGCCUAUUUUACUCCAAGAUUUGAGAAACUACAUCCGUCAUCUAACAGAUAGAGACCAUCUCACAAUCUACCAUUAUCAAUCGUUGUCCCUGUUUUCAAAUUCUGAAAUAUGUAAUGAGUAGG
rnacentral:misc_RNA from 1 species